AGUGAACGCUGGCGGUAGGCCUAACACAUGCAAGUCGAACGGCAGCACAGUAAGAGCUUGCUCUUACGGGUGGCGAGUGGCGGACGGGUGAGGAAUACAUCGGAAUCUACUUUUUCGUGGGGGAUAACGUAGGGAAACUUUCGCUAAUACCGCAUACGACCUACGGGUGAAAGCAGGGGAUCUUCGGACCUUGCGCGAUUGAAUGAGCCGAUGUCGAUUAGGUAGUUGGGGGGGUAAAGGCCCACCAAGGCGACGAUCCGUAGCUGGUCUGAGAGGAUGAUCAGCCACACUGGAACUGAGACACGGUCCAGACUCCUACGGGAGGCAGCAGUGGGGAAUAUUGGACAAAGGGCGCAAGCCUGAUCCAGCCAUACCGCGUGGGUGAAGAAGGCCUUCGGGUUGUAAAGCCCUUUUGUUGGGAAAGAAAAGCAGCAGGUUAAUACCCCGCUGUUCUGACGGUACCCAAAGAAUAAGCACCGGCUAACUUCGUG
rnacentral:rRNA from 1 species